rnacentral:rRNA from 1 species
CAGAGAUGCGGGAGUGCCCGAAAGGGAAUCGGAACACAGGUGCUGCAUGGCUGUCGUCAGCUCGUGUCGUGAGAUGUUGGGUUAAGUCCCGCAACGAGCGCAACCCUUAUCAUUAGUUGCUACGCAAGGGCACUCUAAUGAGACUGCCGGUGACAAACCGGAGGAAGGUGGGGAUGACGUCAAGUCCUCAUGGCCCUUAUGGGUAGGGCUUCACACGUCAUACAAUGGUCGGUACAGAGGGUUGCCAAGCCGCGAGGUGGAGCCAAUCCCAGAAAGCCGAUCGUAGUCCGGAUUGUUCUCUGCAACUCGAGAGCAUGAAGUCGGAAUCGCUAGUAAUCGCGGAUCAGCAUGYCGCGGUGAAUACGUUCCCGGGCCUUG